rnacentral:rRNA from 1 species
CUACGGGUUGCUGCAGUGGGGAAUAUUGCACAAUGGAGGAAACUCUGAUGCAGCAACGCCGCGUGGAGGAUGACACUUUUCGGAGCGUAAACUCCUUUUAUAUAGGAAGAAGAUGACGGUACUAUAUGAAUAAGCGCCGGCUAACGCCGUGCCAGCAGCCGCGGUAAUACGGAGGGCGCAAGCGUUACUCGGAAUCGCUGGGCGUGAAAGAGCGUGUAGGCGGAUUAAAAAGUCAGAAGUGAAAUCCUAUAGCUUAACUAUAGAACUGCUUCUGAAACUCUUAAUCUAGAAUAUGGGAGAGGUAGAUGGAAUUUCUGGUGUAGGGGUAAAAUCCGUAGAGAUCAGAAGGAAUACCGAUUGCGAAGGCGAUCUACUAGAACAUUAUUGACGCUGAGACGCGAAAGCGUGGGGAGCAAACAGGAUUAGAUACCCGCGUAGUC